UACGGGGGGGGUAAGCGUUGUUCGGAAUUACUGGGCGUAAAGGGCUCGUAGGCGGCCAACUAAGUCGGACGUGAAAUCCCUCAGCUUAACUGGGGAACUGCGUCCGAUACUGGAUGGCUUGGAUUUGGGAGAGGGAUGCGGAAUUCCAGGUGUAGCGGUGAAAUGCGUAGAUAUCGAGAGGAACACCAGUGGCGAAGGCGAGUCCCUGGACAACUCCUGACACUGAGGCACGAAAGCUAGGGGAGCAAACAGG
rnacentral:rRNA from 1 species